rnacentral:rRNA from 1 species
UUUAAAGUCUAAUCUGCCCUAUGAGGUUUUAAAUGGCCGCGGUAUUUUGACCGUGCAAAGGUAGCAUAAUAAUUAGUUUUUUAAUUGGAAGCUGGAAUGAAUGAUUGGACGAGAAAAUAACUGUCUCAAUUUAAUUUUUUUUUAAAAUUUUAUUUUUAAGUAAAAAAGCUUAAAUAUUGUUAAAAGACGAGAAGACCCUAUAGAGUUUUAUAAUUAGUUUAAUUUUAAAUUAUAAGAAUUAUUUUAUUAAUAUUAAUUUAAUUAUUUUGUUGGGGCGAUAGAGAAAUAUUAAUAACUUUUUUUAUUAUUAAUUCAUUAAUUUAUGAGUAAAUGAUCCAUUUUUUAUGAUUAUAAGAAUAAGUUACCUUAGGGAUAACAGCGUAAUUUUUUUUAAGAGUUCUUAUCGAAAAAAGAGAUUGCGACCUCGAUGUUGGAUUAAAAUAUAUGUUUGGUGUAGAAGCUAAAUAAUUAGGUCUGUUCGACCUUUAAAAUUUUACA